AUACGUAGGGAGCGAGCGUUGUCCGGAAUUACUGGGUGUAAAGGGAGCGUAGGCGGGACUGCAAGUCAGAUGUGAAAUACCGGGGCUUAACCCCGGAGCUGCAUUUGAAACUGUGGUUCUUGAGUGAAGUAGAGGCAAGCGGAAUUCCUGGUGUAGCGGUGAAAUGCGUAGAUAUCAGGAGGAACACCGGUGGCGAAGGCGGCUUGCUGGGCUUUUACUGACGCUGAGGCUCGAAAGCGUGGGUAGCAAACAGGAUUAGAUACCCUGGUAGUCCACGCUGUAAACGAUGAUUACUAGGUGUGGGGGGAUUGACCCCUUCCGUGCCGCAGUUAAUACAAUAAGUAAUCCACCUGGGGAGUACGGCCGCAAGGUUGAAACUCAAAUGAAUUGACGGGG
rnacentral:rRNA from 1 species